AGACUGGGCGCCGACAGCAUCCUCCGGGGGUAGGCGCCCACAGUCAUUCUUUCCAUCGCUGCGGACACGGGAGUCAGAAGUGAAACAGUCCUGUCCUCGUGGGGCUUACGUUCCAGGCGCAAGAGCCACAGGUAGUCGAAUUGGGAAACCGCCUCGGAUGUCACAUAAGCGCCCAGGGAGGACAGGGCAGGACAGGGCCUCCCUGGGGAGGUGACUUGAGUCAAGACUCAAAAGAGGGAAGCGAGGGAACAAGCCAUGCGAGGAACUAACGAAGGAACAUUCCAGAAAGAUUUCACAUCCCAAGCCUAAGGUCCAGGGGCAGCAGGCAUUGAGGCGGAUGUGGCUGGAGUGGAGAGAAAGAGGAAUUAAAAGGAUGGAGUAAUGACAAUAAUGGCUCACAUUUUUUAGCAAGAGGUGGGUUCACUACCUAUCUGUCGUUAUCUGGGGGGAAAUUAGGCUCUGGGAGGUCAAAUAACUUGCCCAAGGUCACACAGCUUGUAAGUGGCCAGACCAGCAUUGGAACCCAAGGGGACGGAUGUCUGAAACACACCCAGGAGUCCCAAGGUGGGAUGACCUUGACCAAGACAGGCCCUUUACCCCUUGCCUCAGUUUCAUCCCAAAGAGCUGCCCAAACACAGCUUAAAAUCAGGGCACAGAGCAAGGGUGUAGCUGAGUGUGCGUAACAUCUGUUCUCCUGGGAGAUGCUUUUGUUGUCUGGGAAGCACUUGUCACCUCUCCAGGCUCUGGAGCAGGUACAAGUGGCUUCGGGGAGAAAGGGUGGGAGCCGGGAAGAGGCUGCUUCUGGUGGCAGGAGGAGAGAGGGAGUGGGUGAGGGGCCCCGGGCUGGCUGAGUGCUCUGGAGCAUGACAAAGGCAGUGUCAGCCAGGCAGCUGUGUCCGCCACUAGCAACCGCGCAGGCAGCAUCCCCCGCCAUCCCUCUGAGCCUGGAGAGAUUGAAACACACACAGUCAGCGUGCCUGCUGCCCAGGUGAGGUGCAGAAGGCCUGGGGGUUGCCAGUCUGGGCUCUGCCGCGAGAAAGUGGCUUUUCUGCAGCCGGAAGCGGGGAGGAAGUGUUUUCACCCUUCUACAAAGCUCUGUCUCUGCCUCUGGAUCCACGGUGCUGCAGGCCUGAGGGCUCUCAUGGGUACGGGCCUGGUGAGUAAUCUAGAAUUUGCCCCUUCCCCAGCCUGGUGCAGCCUCUAGUCUCGGCCUUCACGCUCUGCUGUAAAAUGAGGCUGGGUCAGGAGUGGGACCCAUCCUCCGUGUUUGAGGAGCUGGGCUAUUACAUGAGCCCCUACCUGAGGUCGCCAGCGAGUCAGAGGUCCUGGUGGGACCAGACCAAAAUGGAACCUACUAUCGGGCCCAUUUUGAGAGGGAGACAGAGAGAAGUUAAAAGUACAUGCACACACAGCUCUAAAGUAGCAGAGAUGGCAUUCAAGUCCAAAGCCUUUGACUCCAGGACGGGCACAGUGGCUCACACUUGUAAUUUCAGCACUUUGGGAGGCCGAGGUGGGAGGAUCUCCUAAGCCCAGGAGUUCAAGACCAGCAUGGGCAACAUGGUAAGACCCUAUCUCUAUUAGCGGGGCGUGAUGGCACAUGGCUGUAGUCCCAGCUACUCUGGAGGCUGAAGCAAGAGAAUCGCUUGAACUUGGAAGGCAGAUGUUGCAGUGAGCUGACAGAGCAAGAUUCCAUCUCAAAACGAACAAUCAAACACUAGUCUUGCCCGGCGAGGUGGCUCAGGCCUGUAAUGACCAGCCUGGCCAACAUGGUGAAACCCCUUCUCUACUAAAAAUACAAAAAUUUGCUGGGCAUGAUGGCAGGCGCCUGUAAUUCCAGCUACUUGGGAGGCUGAGGCAGGAGAAUCCCUUGAACCUGGUAGGUAGAAGUUGCAGUGAGCCGAGACCGUGCUAUUGCACUCCAGCCUGGGCAACAAGAGUGAAACUCCGUCCCCAAAAAGAAAAAAACACUAGCCUCAAGCCACAGCCAUGUCUCCAACCUUCCCGGCCAGGUUUCUCAAAAGAGGGGGCUACCUGAGGUCACCCACUCCUGCCGAACUCCAGGUGGGCUUCCUCAUCCCUUGCUCUAUCCUAAACUGUUCCUUAAGUGACAGUUCACACCCUGACGUCUUCCAAGCUGAGACCCCACCAGCAGCUAGCUUUUCCUUUGUGGUUCCACCCACCUCCUAAAUCCCUUUAGCAGCCGGGUGCGGUGGCUCGCGCCUGUAAUCCCAGCACUUUGGGAGGCCGAGGCGGGUGGAUCACGAGGUCAGGAGAUCGAGACCACGGUGAAACCCUGUCUCUACUAAAAAUACAAAAAAAUUAGCUGAACGUGGUGGCGGGCGCCUGUAGCCCCAGCUACUCGGGAGGCUGAGGCAGGAGAAUGGCAUGAACCCGGGAGGCAGAACUUGCAGUGAGCUGAGAUCGCACCACUGCACUCCAGCCUUGGCGACAGAGUGAGACUCCAGCUAAAAAAAAAAUCCCUCUAGGGUCCUGCGCCUCUGCCUGUAGCCCCUAAAACCGAAUACUCCUGAAAGUUUUAUCCUGGGAACCCCUUUCCUUGACACUUUAACUCCGUGGAAGAGGCAAAAGUGAGGGGAACCCCCAUCUCUACUUAAGAGUUCCCCACAUAUUUUUUAUUAUUAUUUUUUUCGUGACGGAAUUUCACUCUUUGUUUGCCCAGUCUGGAAUGCAAUGGCACAAUCUCAGCUCACUGCAACCUCUGCCUCCCGGGUUCAAGUGAUUCUUCCACCCUAGCCUCCCGAGAAGCUGGGAUCACAAGCGCCCACCACCACACCAAACUAAUUUUGUAUUUUUAGUUGAGACGAUUUCACCACGUUGCCCAGGCUGGUCUCGAACUCCUCAGAUGAUCGGCCCUCUGCCUCCCAAAGUGCUGGGAUUACAGGUGUGAGCUCCUGCGCCCGGCUCAGAGUUCCCCAUAUUUAUACUUGCCCUCCAGGGCACACUGGCCUCCAUUUUUAGGGACUUGCUUGGUAUCUGCCCUUGGGUAACCCACUGGAGCUUUCCAGUUGGACUCCUUGAUUGGAGGGGAAUCUGGCUACACCUGUCGCCCCAGGAUGGACCAGCAGGGCCCGUCUUGAGGCUGCACUCGAGGAUAGAGGAAAAAGUGUCAUCUUUAAGAGUCCCACCGAGUAGCCAGGUUUCCCUGCCGGAAAUUCCUGCCUUGUUUUCCUUUCCCUGGUAAAACUAGGAGAGCCACCUCAUUUUCCUGAGCCCUGAGCCCUGAGCGCCCGCCCCCACCCCCGUUGGUUCUAGCUACACAGGCUUUCGGCCUCAGGGUUGCUUUGCACCAUCCCCUUCCCCCGACCCAGGCAAGUUCGCUUCUGCUUCUCUCUUGCCCAGCCCUCAUUAGCAGGCUCUGACACUUCUCAGCCGCCUGUCCGCUUUGCAGAGAACUGACAUGUGAGCUGUGCCCAGGGACAUCUGCUGAAUGGGCGGGUCCCCUGCCGGACCAGUCCAUCUGUCCCUCACUCAGUGUUCCUUCUGAGCUGAAGCUGCCCAGCAUCCCCCAUCUGUGUGAGUAUUCACACAGCGCUGGCCAAAGCCCUGUCGGGAAUCACGUGAUUCAGAUCCUGGUUUUGCCCCUGUCAGCCUUAGGACAAGACAGAUUUCUUUUUCUUUGUUUCUCCUGAGAUAGGGUCUCACUCUGUCGCCCAGGCUGGAGUGCAGUGGUGUGAUCUCAGCUCAUUGCAGCCUCAGCCUUUGGGGUUAUAGCAAGCCUCCCACCUCAGCUUCCCAAGUAGCUAGGAUUAUAGGUGCACACCACCAUGCUCAGCUAUUUUUUUUUACAUUUAUAUUUAGUAAAGACAGGGUCUCACUGUGUUUCCCAGGCUGGUCUCAAACUCCUGGCCCCAAGUGAUCCUCCCGCCUUGGCCUCCCAAAGUGCUGGGAUUACAGGCAUGAGCCACCAUGCCCUGGCUACCCAACAGAUUUCUUUUCUUUUUUCCCCCCCAAGACGGAGUCUCACUCUGUCAUCCAGGCUGGAGUACAUUAGCGCAAUCUUGGGUCAUGGCAACCCCUGCCUCCUGGGUUAAAGCAGUUCUUCUGCCUCAACCUCCCGAGUAGGUGGGAUUACAGGCGCAUGCCACCACGCCCGGCUGGCUAAUUUUUUUGUAUUUUUAGUAGAGACGGGGGUUUCGCCAUGUUGGCCAGGCUGGUCUCAAACUCCUGACCUCGUGAUCCACCUGCCUCGGCCUCCCAAAGUGAUGGGAUUACAGGAAUAAGCCACCAUGCCCGUCCCACCCAACAGAUUUCUUGAGGUGAGUUUUGGUUUCCUGGCAUGGUAUUGGCUACAUGACCUCAUCUGUAAUGUCUUUGGCAAACAGAAUAACUUGUUUUGUAUUACUAUGUUUAAUCUUCAAAAUCACCCUAUUGAGUAGAUUGUCACAAUCAGGCCUGUUUUGUGGAUGAAGAGAGGGAGGCUUGGAGAAGCCGCGUGGUUCAUGCAAAAAUGCAAAGCUGCAAAGUAGUGGCGGUGGGGUUCAAGUCCUGACGCUUUCACCACUGAGCGCCUUGCCAUCCCCUGCUGCCAUCCUCUCUUGGUUCUGAUACUUCUUUUUUUUUUUUUUUUGAGAUGGAGUCUCACUCUGUCGCCCAGGCUGGAGUGCAAUGGUGUGAUCUCGGUUCACUGCAACCUCCACCUCCCACGUUCAAGCGAUUCUCCUGCCUCAGCCUCCGGAGUAGCUGGACUACAGGUGCCUGCCACCACGCCCGGCUAAUUUUUUUGUAUUUUUUUAGUAGAGACAGGGUUUCACCGUGUUAGCCAGGAUGGUCUCACUCUCCUGACCUCAUGAUCCACCUGCCUCGGCCUCCCAAACUGCUGGGAUUACAGGCAUGAGCCAUCACGCCUGGCCUUUAGGCCAGCUAAUUUUAAGGUGCUUCUCUGAGUAGUGUGAACUGGGGGUCAUGCGAAGGGGUCUCAGUGAAUCUGGGCAGAGUGUGGUGCUGCUGGGAGUCUGCAGCCCCUUUCAAACAGUCUGGUUCCUUGAAAGGUUAAACAUGGAGGCCGGGUACAGUGGCUCAGGCCUGUAAUCCCAGCACUUUAGGAAGCUGAGGCAGGCAGAUCACUUGAGGUCAGGAGUUGGAGACCAGCCUGGACAACAUGGCGAAACCCUGUCUUGAUGUAAAAAAAAAAAAAAAAAAAAUUAGCUGGGUGUGGUAGCAGGCACCUGUAGUCCCAGCUACUCAGGAGACUAAGGCAGGAGAAUCCUUUGAAUCUGGGAGGUGGAGGUUGCAGUGAGCUGAAAUCAGGCCACUGCACUCCAGCCAGGGUGACAGAGUGAGACUCCAUCUCAAAAAAAAAAAAAAAAUGUUAAACAUGGAGUGACCAUAUGACGCAGCAGUGCCCCUCCUAGGUAUAUAUCGUGUAUAUCUAAGAGGAAUGGGAACAUAUCUGCACAAAAAUUUGCAUGGGAAUGUUCAGAGCAGUGUUAUUCAUAAGAGCCAAAAAGUGAAAGCAACCAUGUGUCCCUCACCUGAUGAAUGGAUAAAUCAACUGUGGUCUCUCCAAACAGUGGAAUAUGAUUCAGCCAUAAAAAGGAACGAAGCAGCUGGGCGCAGUGGCUCACGCCUGUAGUCCCAGCACUUUGGGAGGCCGAGGCCAGUGGAUCACGAGGUCAGAAGAUCGAGACCAUCCUGGCUAACACGGUGAAACCCUGUCUCUAAAAAAAUUAGCCAGGCAUGUUGGCACAUGCCUGCAGACCCAGCUACUUGGGAGGCUAAGGCAGGAGAAUUGCUUGAACCUGGGAUGCGGAGGUUGCAAUGAGCCGAGAUCGUUCCACUGCACUCCAGCCUGGGAGAUAGAGUGAGACUCCGUCUCAAAACAAAACAAAACAAAACAAAAAAACGAAGCACCAAUACAUACUACAACAUGGAUGACCCUUGAAAGCAUUAUGCCCAGUGACAAGCCAGACACACAGGACGCAUGUUGUGUGUUUCUGUUCAUAUGAAAUUUCCAGAAUAGGCAAAUCCAUAGAGACUGGAAGUAGAUUAAGGGCCAGGGGCAGUGGCUUACGUCUACAGGCAUGAGCAGUUUGGAAAGCUGGGGCAGGAGGAUCACUUGAGACCAGGAGUUCAAGACCAGCAGUUCAAGACCAGCCUGGGCAACAGAGUGAGACCCCUAUCUCUAAAAAAAAAUAAAGUUAGCUGAGUGUGGUGGCGCCCACCUGUAGUCCCAGCUCCACGGGAGACUGAGAGGAGAGGACUGCUUGACCCUGAGAGGUAGAGGCUACAGUGAGCUAUGAUCAAACCACUGAACUCCAGCCUGGGCAACACAGUGAGACUCUGUCUCUAAAAAUAAAUAAAUAAAAAGAUAGGGUAGCUUAGGGGUUGCCUGGGGCCUGGGGUGGUGGUGAGCAUCGGGGAGUGACUGCUAAGUGGAGUUUCUUUUUGGGUUAAUGAAAAUAUUCCAAAAUUGGUCAGUUGCAGUGGCUCAUGCCUGUAAUCCAAGCACUUUUAGGAGGCCAAGGCACGUGGAUCACUUGAGGUUAGGGGUUCGAGACCAGCCUGGCCAACGUGAUGAAACUCCGUCUCUACUAAAAAUACAAAAAAAUCUAGCUGGGCCCGGUGGUGCUCACCUAUAGUCCCAGCUACUUGGGAGGCUGAGGCGGGAGAAUCGCUUGAACCCGGGAGACAGAGGUUGCAGUGAGCCGAGAUCAUGCCACUGCACUCCAGCCUGGGUGACAGAGUGAGACUCCGUCUUGAAAAAAAAAGAAAAAGAAAAUAUUCCAAAAUUGCAGUUAUAGAUGCACAGAUCUGUGGAUAUUUAAAAACAACUGAAUCAUCUACUGUGGUGUAAUUGUAAAGUGGUGAAUUAUAUGGAUUAUAUCUCAAUAAAGGUCUUUUUUUUUCUUUUUUUUUUUUUUUUUUUGAGACGGUAUCUUGCUCUGUCGCCCAGGCUGGAGUGCAGUGGCACAAUCUCGGCUCACUACAAGCUCCACCUCCCAGGUUGGUGGACAUUCUCCUGCCUCAGCCUCAGCCUCCCGAGUCGCUGGGACUACAGGUGCCUGCCACAAUGUCUGGCUAAUUUUUUGUAUUUUUAGUAGAGACGGGGUUUCACCGUGUUAGCCAGGAUGGUCUCGAUCUCCUGACCUCGUGAUGCGCCCACCUCGGCCUCCCAAAGUGCUGGGAUUACAGGUGUGAGCCACUGCACCCGGCCUCACCAAAGGUCUUAUUAAAAAAAUUAGCCAGAUUCCCUGCUUCAGUGAUAAAAAAAAAAAAAAAAAAGAGGGGCAGGAGAAGAGGACCCAAUAACUUCCUGAGUGACUGGGGAAAAUAUUUUUGGGUUAUAUUUCUGUAAUUCUCGUGAAGUGAUUACAGAAGUGACGGGAUAGAAGAGGUUUCUUUAAAAAAAAUUUUUUUUUUAAUUUAGUAGAGAUGGGAUCUUGCUAUAUUGCCCAGGCUGGUCUUGAACUCCUGGACUCAAGCAGUCCUCCUGCCUGGGCCUCCCGGAGCUCCCGGGUUACAGGUGUGCAAUCCCAUGACCAGCCGAUAGAGGACGUUUCUAUUCAUCCUUCAGACCUCAGCUUACAAGUUACCCCAAGAUAAGCCUCCCCCACCCCAUAACCCUCCCUCUGUCACUUUGUCACGUGUCUGAGCCCUUGUUUCUUCCUUUUUUUUUUUUGAAAUGAAGUCUUGUUCUGUCGCCAGGCUGGAGUGCAAUGGCGUGAUCUCGGCUCACUGCAAUCUCUGCCUCUUGGGUUCAAGCGAUUCUCCUGCCUCAGCCUCCCGAGUUGCUGGGAUUACAGGCACAUACCACCACACCCAGCUAAUUUUUGUAUUUUUAAUAGAGACGGGGUUUCACCAUGUUGGCCAGGGUGGUCUCCAUCUCCUGACCUCAUGAUCUGCCAGCCUUAGCCUCCCAAAGUGCUGGGAUUACAGGCGUGAGCCACCGCGCCAGGCCUGUUUCUUCCUUUUAUAGCUCUUCCCACACUUGGAAUUCUUUUCUGCCUCUGGACCUGAUUUUGUUGGGCUCUUGCCCAGCUGAGUUCCGUGAGGUUCGGGGCUUGUCUGUAUCUUGUCUGCCACAUCAUAGGUGCUCAGUGCACACCUGUUGAGUGGAUGCACCAUAGAUAUAUUGAUAACAGCUGUGAGCGGUUGGGAGCGAGUGAGCAGAGCAGGGCUGCUCAGGGUGUCUCCAGCCCUAGUGGCUUUCUCUCUGUUCCAGUUCCAGGAGAAAGUCUCUGGAAAGGAAGCCCGAAGUCGGGUCUGGCUGGGAAGAGGUGGGGGCUGGGGCGGGUGCCGGGUGCUGGGGCUGGGAGGAAGUCUGCAGCCAGGCUGCUGAGGGUGUGGCGUCUGUGUGUGCACCUUUGGAAUGUGGCUGAUUCACUCUGAGGGGAGCCAUAUGCUGCCGCCACCGCCUCGGAUCUGACAUCUGGAGGCUGAAUUCCAGGAGGAGAGAGACAGAUUCCUGCAAGCAGAUGCCAACUUUGAAGGUCAAAGGGAGCAAUGGAACUGCUUUGAGGGGGGUGGGAGGAUCACUUGAACCUAGAAGUUUGAGACCAGCCUGGGCAACAUAGUGAGACCCCAUCUCUACAAAAAAAUAGAAAAAUUAGCCAGGUGUGGUGGUGCGGGCCUGUAGUCCCAGCUACUCCUGAGGCAGGAUUGCUUGAGCCCAGGAGGUGGAGGCUAUAGUGAGCCAAGAUUGCACCACUGCACUCCAGCCUGGGUGACAGAGCAAGACCCCCCCAUCUCAAAAACAAAUUAAAAAAUAAAUAAAUAAGUAAAUAAAUGAAAUAAAGACCAGUUCCUUGACAGCUCGUGUAACUGCAGAGGCCGAGGGUCUAGCUGGGUCCAGUGCUCACAGGAACACUGGCUUGCAUCUCCCAGCCAGGUUUCCUCCGUUUUCGCUUUGCUCUUGGGCCAGCGCUUCCUGAGAGGAGGCCCUGAUGUCACAGACCUGUGAACCUCCAGCUUGUGUCUACCACGGGUUCCAGCAGAAUCCUAGGUUUGCCUCUCUUUGGCUGGAGCUGGGUCCCAACCCAGCCCUGUAGCGAUCACCGUACUCCUGAUGGGACAGGCCUGGGUCAGGAGCCUGCCCAGCACAGGGCAAUACCCCUGUAGCCCCAUGGAGCAAAUGGAAAUGAGGGGGGCUGUCCCUUAAAAGAACCACACCGGCCAGGCGUGGUGGCUCACGCCUGGAAUCCCAGCACUUUGGGAGGCUGAGGUGGAAGGAUCGAUUGAUCCUGGGAGUUGGAGACCAGCGUGGGCAACAUAGCAAGACCCUGUCUCUACAAAAAAAAAUUUUUUUUGAGAUGGGAGUCUUGCUGUGUCGCCCAGGCUGGAGCACAGUGGCGUGAUCUCGGCUCACUGCAAGCUCUGCCUCCCAGGUUCAUGCCAUUCUCCUGCCUCAGCCUCCCAAGUAGCUGGGACUACAGGUGCCUGCCACACGCCCGGCUAAUUUUUUUGUAUUUUCAAAAAUUUUUUUUUAAAUUAGAUGAGCAUAGUGGUGUGUACCUGUGGUCCCAGCUACUUGGGAAACUGAGACGGGAAGAUGGCUUGAGCCCAGGAGGUUAAGGCUGCGGUGAGCCUUGAUCGCACCACUGCAUUCCAGCCUGGUCAACAGAGCAAGGCCCUAUCUCAAAAACAAAACAAAAAAACAUAAAUACAAGAGCGACCCCCCAGCUCUGCUAAGCUGCCUCCACCAUGCUGGCUGCCAGGCCCUGUGCUCAGCUUCAUGGGCUUUAGCGUCCCCAGGUGUCCCUUUGGUUGAGUCUCUCCCUUAAGCUCUCAGAUGCUCAUUUUCUUCAUCUCUGAAAUCUCCAAGCUUCUUUUCAGGAUUGGAUGAGACAAUCCUGGCAAAUCCCUUGGCACAGGCCUUGCCCCAAGGAGGCAGAUGAUAGCUCACGUCUAGUUCCUUUCUCAUCCUGACAUCUAGGUUCUCUGUGAUCUGCCUGUGGGCUCGAAGGAUGGUGUGCAUGUGUGUGUUUGCAUGUGUGUGCGUGGGUGUGCAUGAGUGUGUCUGCACGCAGCAGCAGCAGCCCCCUUUCUGUUCUCCUAGGAGUUUUGUAUUUGAUUUCUCCUCCAGAGUCUUGGGGGCUCCACAGGAGAGAUGGUGGAGGCGGGAGGAGCAAGAAAGGGGUGAGGUUAGAAGCCUGGUCCCAGCUGGGGCUGCAGCUGGGGGCCUGCAGGCUCUGGCCUGCCCUGGGAGGCCCUCCCUGUACCUGCAGCUGCAUCUGGGGCCGGAGGAGGGGCCAGGCGUCCUUCCGCUCCAGGAGCUGCUGCCUGUCCCCCUCCCAUGACACAUGAGGACUGUGUCUGGUCGAUUCACAUUGGAGGGUCCCUGAAUGAGCUUUGUCCAUUAGAGGACCUGUAUUCUUGUUCCUGGAACCUGGGAGUGGGUCAGAAGGGUGACUCACACCUGUAAUCCCAGCACUUUGGGAGGCCAAGGUGGGUGGAUUACCUGAGGUCAGGAGUUUGAGACCAGCCUGGCCAACAUGACGAAACCCCAUCUCUACUAAAAAUAUAAAAAUUAGCUUGGCAUGGUGGUGCGUGCCUGUAAUCCCAACCACUCGGGAGGCUGAGACAGGAGAACUGCUUAAACCUGGGAGGCAGAGGUUGCAGUGAGCCGAAAUUGCGCCAUUGCACUCCAGCCUGGGUGACAAGAGUGAGACUCUGUCUCAAAAAAUAAAAAUAGGCCGGGCGCAGUCGCUCACGCCUGUAAUCCCAGCACUUUGGGAGGCCGAGGCAGGCAAAUCACAAGGUUAGGAGAUCGAGAGCAUCCUGGCUAACACAGUGAAACCCCAUCUCUACUAAAAAUACAAAAAAUUAGCCAGGUGUGGUGGCGGGCGCCUGUAGUCCCAGCUACUCCAGAGGCUGAGGCAGGAGAAUGGCGUGAACCCAGGAGGCAGAGCUUGCAGUGAGCCAAGUUCGCGCCACUGCACUCCAGCCUGGGUGACAGAGAGAGACUCUGUCUAAAAUAAAUAAAUUAGUUAAUAAUAAUAAAAAUAAAAAAUAAAAUCAAGCUGGGAGCAGUGGCUCAUGCUUGUAAUCCCGGCACUUUGGGAGGCUGAGACCGGCAGAUCACCUGAGGUCAGGAGUUCGAGACCAACCUGGCCAACAUGGUGAACCCCGUCUCUACUAAAAAUACAAAAAUUUGGCCGGGCACAGUGGCUCACGCCUGUAAUCCUAGCACUUUGGGAGGCCAAGGCGGGCGGAUCAUGAGUUGAGGAGAUCGAGACCAUCCUGGCUAACACGGUGAAACCCCAGACCCCAUCUCUACUAAAAAAAUUAGCCGGGUGUGGUGGUGGGUGCCUGUAGUUUCAGCUACUCGGGAGGCUGAGCCAGGAGAAUCGCUUGAACCAGGGAGGUGGAGGUUGCAGUGAGCUGAGAUCGCACCACUGUACUCCAGCCUGGGUGACAGAGUGAGACUCCAUCUCAAAAAAAGAUUAAAAAAUAAAAAUAAGAUAUAAUUCACAUACCGUAAAAUUCACCUCUUUGAAGUGUACAAUCAGUGGUUUUUAGUGUAUUCAGAGUCGUGCAACCAUCAUCAACAUCUAAUUUCAGAACAUUUUCACCAUCCCAAAAAGAAACCCUAUACUCAAGAAGCAGCCACUCCCCAUUCCUCUUUCCUCCCAGGCCCUGGCAACGCACCAGCCUGUUUUCUGCCUCUAUGGAUUUCCCUAUUCUGGGCAUUUCAAAUAAAGUGGUGGUCUCUUGUGAUUGGCUUUUCACUUAAUGUUUCAAGGUUCGUCUAUAUUGUAGCAUAGAUCAGCACCUUGUUCCUUUUUAUUUUUGAGACACAGUCUCGCUCUGUCGCUCAGGCUGGAGUGCAAUGGUGAAAUCUCUGCUCAUUGCAAGCUCUGCCUCCCAAGUUCAAGCAAUUCUCCUGCCUCAGCCUCUCGAGUAGCUGAGAUUACAGGCGCGCGCCACCGUGCCUGGUAAAUUUUUUGUAGUAGAAACGGGAUUUUACCAUGUUUGCCAGGCUGGUCUCGAACUCCUGACCUCAGGUGAUCCACCUGCCUUGCCCUCCCAAAAUGUUAGGAUUAGAGGCGUGAGCCACCAUGCUGGCCCUUUUUUUUUUUUUUUUUUUUUUUUUUAAGAUGGAGUUUCUCUCUGUCCCCCAUGCUGGAGUGCAGUGGCAUGAUCUCAGCUCACUGCAGGCUCUGUCUCCCGGGCGCAAGCAAUUCUCAUGCCUCAGCCUCCUGAGGAGCUGGAAAUACAGGUGCCCACCACCAUGCCCAACUAAUUUUUGUAUUUUUAGUAAAGAUGGGGUUUCGCCAUGUUGGCCAGGCUGGUCUCAAACUCCUGACCUCAGGUGAUCCGCCUACCUCGGCCUCCCAAAGUGCUGGGAUUGCAGGAGUGAGCCACUGUGCCCAGCCAAUUAAAAAAAAAAAAUUUUUUUUGAGACGAAAUUUCGCUCUUGUUGCCCAGGCUGGAGUGCAAUGGCAUGAUCUGGACUCACCGCAACCUCCGCCUCGUGGGUUCAAGUCAUUCUUCUGCCUCAGUCUCCCAAAUAGCUGGGAUUACAGGCAUGCGCCACCAUGCCUGGCUAAUUUUGUGUUUUUAGUAGAGAUGGGGUUUCACCAUGUUGGUCAGGCUGGUGUCAAACUCCCGACCUCAGGUGAUCCGCCCACCUUGGCCUCCCAAAGUGCUGCGAUUACAGGCAUGAGCCACCACACCUGGCCUUAAAACAUUUUUUGUAGAGAUGGGGGCUUGCUAUGUUGCCCAGGCUGGUCUUGAACUCGUAGGCUCAAGUGAUCCUCCUGCCUCAGCCUCAUGAGUAGCUGGGACUACAAGUGCACACCAUCACGCCUAGCUAAUUUUUUUUUUUUUUUUUUUUUUUUUUUUUUUUUUUUUGUUUUGAGACUGAGUCUCAUUCUGUUGCCCAGGCUGGAGUACAGUGGCACGAUCUCGGCUCACUGCAACCUCCACCUCCCGGGUUCAAGUGAUUCUCCUGCCUCAGCCUCCUGAGUAGCUGGGAUUACAGCUGCCCACCACCACGCCCGGCAAAUUUUUGUAUUUUUAGUAGAAGUGGGGUUUCACCAUGUUGUCCCGGCUGGCCUCGAAUUUCUGACCUCAAAUGAUCCUUCUGCCUCGGCGUCCCAAAGUGCUGGGAUUACAGGCAUGAGCCACCGCGCACUGCUAAUUUUUUUUAAAGAUGAAAUCUUGCUAUGUUGCCCAGGCUGGUUUGGAACUCCUGAGCUCAAAUGAUCCUCUCAUCUGGCCUCCCAGAGGGCUGGGAUCCCAGGUGUGAGCCAUCGGGAACCAGCUGCAUUUUCAGUGCUUACUCAUGGCCAAAGUGAAUCAGAUCCAACUGAGGAGGAGGAGGCGCGCAUCACAGGUCUCCCUAGACAAGCCAGGCACUGUAGGGAUCUGCAGGGCCUCGGGAUUGUGGGGGGCUGCGGUCAGCCCCUUCACCCCAACACCUACCUGCCUGGGGCUCCCCCACCGUGUUCCUGCUCGGCAUCCACAAAGCAGCGCGUGUGCCGGACGCCCCCUACUGGUCGGGGGAGCCCCAGCCCUGUGAGCCCAGAGAUGUCCCCCUGACUUGGGGAGAGGAGGGCCAGAGGACCGGAAGUGGCUUUGCUCCGAACCCCAGUAGGAGCAUCUGACCCCCGUUCCGCCUUCCUGGGAGCAUCCAGGAUCCUUUCCCAGGCAGGGACUUUUUGCUUCUCAACCUGGCUCCAACGACUGGUGUCCCUGCCCCCGCCACCACCCCAAAGAGGCUAUGGUUCCCCAUAUGCACGGGAGUAUAGCAGGGCCGGAAAGGUCAGGUGCUGCAUCCCCCUGCUCCCAGCAAAUUUCUAUAGCGGAACAAGCCUCGUUAAGACUGAGGACAUAGAUUCCUGCCUGGGUUCCAUCUCCAAUUCUCUGUAUGUUCUCAGGAAAUUCUCCUCCCUUACUCUAUCCUACCUUCAAACCCCCCAUCUGGGGCAGGAGAAUUUUCCUGUGACCCCCAAUGCCCUUUACCCUGGUGUAACCCCCUUUUGAUGAGUGUGGGCAAAACCUACAAAUAUAUCACUUCUGUGGUUAGGAUGCAUGACAUGCUAUGGUUGACCUUGAGGCAGAGAGAUUAUCAAUGAUUCUGACCUAAUCACAUGCACUCUUAAAAAGCAGAGUUGGCCAGGCGCAGUGGCUCACACCUGUAAUCCCAGCACCUUGGGAAGCUGAGGCUGGAAGAUCGCUUGAGUCCAUGAGUUUGAGACAAGCCUGGGCAACAUAGGAAGACCCUAUCUCUACAAAAAAAUUAAGAAAAUUAACACAUAUAGGCCGGGUGCGGUGGCUCACGCCUGUAAUCCUAGCACUUUGGGAGGCCGAGGCAGGUGGAUCACCUGAGGUUGGGAGUUCAAGACCAGCCUGACUAAUAUGGAGAAACCCUGUCUCUACUAAAAAUACAAAAUUAGCCGGGUGUAGGCUGGGCUCUGUGGCUCAUGCCUGUCAUCUCAGCACUUUGGGAGGCUGAGGUGCGCGGAUCACCUGAGGUCAGGAGUUCAAGACCAGCCUGGCCAACAUGGUGAAACCCGUGUCUACUAAAAUGUACAAAAAACUAGCCGGCCGUGGUGGUGCAUGCGUGUAAUCCCAGCUUUUCAGGAGGCUGAGGCAGGAGAAUCACUUGAACCAGGGAGGUGGAGAUUGCAGUGAGCCGAGAUUGCACCAUUGCAUUCCAGACUGGGCGACAAGAGCAAAGUUCUGUCUCAAAAAAAAAAAAAAAUGCUGAAUAAUAUUAGGCCGGGCGCAGUAGCUCACGACUGUAAUCCCAUCACUUUGGGAGGCUGAGGCAGGUGGAUCACGAGGUCAGGAGAUUGAGACCAUUCCUGGCUAACACAGUGAAACGCUGUCUCUAGCCAGGCGCGGUGGCUCACACCUGUAAUCCCAGCACUUUGGGAGGCCGAGGCGGGGAGAUCAAGAGGUCAGGAGAUUGAGACCAUUCUGGCUAACAUGGUGAAACCCCAUCUCUACUAAAAAAUACAAAAAAUUAGUCGGGCAUGGGGGCAGGCGCCUGUAGUCCCAGAUACUCGCGAGGCUGAGGCAGGAGAAUGGCGUGAGCCCGGGAGGCAGAGCUUGCAGUGAGCUGAGAUCACACCACUGCACUCCAGCCUGGGCGACAGAGCGAGACUCUGUCUCAAAAAAAAAAAAGAAAAGAAAAUUCUAGAAACACCGUGUCUACUAAAAAUACAAAAAAGCCAGGUGUGGUGGCAGAGGCUGAGGCGGGAGGAUCGCUUGAGCCCAGGAAGUUUUGUUUGUUUUGUUUUGUUUUUAGAAGGAGUCUCGUUCUGGAAUGUAGUGGCAGGAUCUCGGCUCACUGCAACCUCCGCCUCCUGGAUUCAAGUGAUUCUUCUACCUCAGCCUCCUGAGUAGCUGAGACUACAGCCGUGUGCUACCUCCCCUGGCGAAUUUUUGUAAUUUUUUAGUAGAGAUGGGGUUUCAUCAUGUUGCCCAGGCUGAUCUCGAACUCUUGACCUCAAGUGAUCCGCCCGCCCCUACCUACCAAAGUGUUGAGAUUACAGGUGUGAACCACUGUGCCCGGCCUGAGCCCAGGAAGUUGACACUGCAGUGAGCCAUGAUUGCACCACUGCGAUCAAACCCCACCCCCCGAAAAAAAAGACCCAAAAACCUAAGUGUAAAAAUGAGAACAACCUAUCCUCACCUCUGCAGCAGCCACCUUUGCCGACAGCUCUUCCUCCUGGCUGCAGUUCUUAUGAUUUCCCAUCUCCAACCAGCAGCUCCCAACCAGCCUGGGAAGGGGUUGGGGGUAGCCUUUGUCCUGAAAACUGCUGUGCUGAUGGCAUGGUCAGAGCAGCUGACACCUCCGAGCCAGUGAGGAAAGAGCCAAGGGAAGGAGUCCUGAAUCCUCUGCUCUAAGGAAUCCCCCAUGCUUGCUUUCUGGGGCUUCCUGGACUUGUGGCCAUCUUUAGGGUCAGUCAAUAAAGUUGCUUUUUUUUUUUUUUGAGAUGGAGUCUCGCUUUGUCACUCAGGCUGGAAUGCAGUGGCACAAUCUCGGCUCACUGCAACCUCCACCUCCCGGGUUCAAACGAUUCUCCUGCCUCAGCCUCCCAAGUAGCUGGGACUACAGGCGUGCGCCACCAUGCCCGACUAAUUUUUGUAUUUUUAGUAAAGAUGAAGUUUCACCAGUUGGCCAGGCCGGUCUCGAACUCCUGACCUCAGGUGAUCCACCUGCCUCAGCCUCCCACAGUGCUGGGAUUACAAGCGUGAGCCAGACUCACUGCAGCCUUAACUCCUAGGCUCAAGCAAUCCUCCCGCCUCAGCCUCCUGAGUAGCCAGGACUUCAGACAUAAGCCACUGUGACCGGCCAAGAGACCCACCUUUUACAGGGCAAGUGGUUUGUUUGCCAAUUUUCACUGCCCCACCACAUGAGGGUGUUUCGAGUGGGAAGCAGGUGCACCCUGUGUGAACAGCAAAGCCCAGCGCAUGCCUGCUGCCUCCCACCUGCUGCCACGUAGAGCUGGGAAGGGGAAAGGCUGAGCCCCACCUCCGACCUUCCCUACAUAUCAGGAAAUCUUGUCGUUCUCCAAGGUCAGCUCAGACGCCUCUGGCCACUGCCGCCCAUGGCAACUUGGUGCCAGGGAUGACAGCAACCAACACUCAUUGAUGCCGUGACAUGCCAGGCUGUCACCAGCUUUUCACAACAGCCCUGCCAGGGAGAUGCUGUGUGGCUUUCAUUUUGCAGAUGAGAGAGCAGAGUCAGGUUAGUAGGGUUGGGGUUCAGGCAGGACCUGGAUUCUGUACCACACUUCGUGGCUGCUAGUGGUUUCUGGAAGUCUGUUGUCUGAAGAGCAGGGAGUGUGUGUAGACAGAGACAGGUCUGAGGGCUGUGCCGUGGGCAUGUCCUAGACGCAAAGCAAAAAAAGAAUUUCAAGAAGGUCAGAUGCAGUGAAGGCAGAAAACAGAGACCCAGAUGUAGCAUCCUGGAGGUCCUCGUGACUUUGAAAAGAGAAGGGUUUGUGUGUGUGUGUGUGUGUGUGUGUGUGUGUGUGUGUGUGUGUGUUUUAUUAUUUAUUUAUUUAUUUUUGAGACAGUCUCACAGUUGCCCAGGCUGGAGUGCAGUGGUGCGAUCUCGGCUCAGGUGCGAUCUGUUGCCCAGGUUCAAGCGAUUCUCCUGCCUCAGCCUCCUGAGUAGCUGGGAUUACAGGUGCCUGCCCUUGCGCCUGGCUAAUUUUUGUAGUUUUAGCAGAGAUGGGGGUUUCACCAUCUUGGCCAGGCUGGUUUUGAACUCCUGACCUCGUGAUCCACCUGCCUUGGCCUCCCAAAGUGCUGGGACUACAGGCAUGAGCCACCGCGCCCAGCCAUAUGUGUUUUAUUUUGGAGACAGGGUCUCACUCUGCGGUCUAGGCUGGAGUGCAGUGGUGCACUCUUGGCUCAAAGCAGCCUCAACCUCUUAGAAUCAAGUGAUCCUCCCUCCUCAGCCUCCAGAGUAGUAGCUGGGACCAAAGAUGUGCAUCACCACACCUGGCUAAUAUUUUAAUUAUUUAUAAAGAUGAAGUCUUGCUAUGUUGCCCGGCUGGUCUGGAACUCCUGGGCUCAAGCCAUCCUCCUGCCUCCUGCUUUGACCUCCCAAAGUGCUAGGAUUACAGAAGUGAGUCACUGCCCCCAUGCAGUCAUGGGGGUGUGAUGGAGUGAGCAGGAGGGAAGGGGAGAGAGUGAGUGUGAACAUCCAUUUCAAGGAGUUUUGCUGUUAGAUUCCAGAGCUGGGCUGGGCGUGGUGGCACAUACCUGUAGUCCCAGCUACAAAGGAGGCUGAGGCAAGAGAAUGGCUUGAACCUGGGAGGUGGAGGUUGAAGUGAGUGGAGAUCAUGCCACUGCACUCCAGCUUGGGUGACAGAGUGAGACUGUCUCAAAACCAAGAAAAGAGAGCAGAGCUAAGGGGAUCUAGGGUCAGUCCGUUGGUUUGAAAGGAGAAUAGUAACAGCUUGUUAGUAAUGGGUAUGAUCCAAAAGACGGUGUGCACUGAAGACAAAGGAGAGAGGACAGUUUCUGGAGUGACGGCUCUGAGUUGUGCAAGUAGAAGGGUCUUCUGUGCAUGAACAGCAUGGAUGCUCAUCCAGAGACACUGGCCGAUGGCAGUUCCCAGGCACAGAGAGGGAGGCAGUGGCGGGCAUGGCAGCCUGUGGAAGGUCUCUUCUAAUUGCUUCCAUUUCCCUCAGAGGAACGGGAAGUGAGCUACAAGCAAGGAGGAGGUGCUAGAGGGCUUGAGGGGAGAGGAGAAGGAAGGGUAGGAAGAAGGGGCCAGGGCAACAGGAUGCAGUCACAGCAACCCCCAGACCCACUUGAGGGUAUGGAUCAGGCACUUAAAAAUAAGAGCAGUGGCAGGCUGGGCGCGAUGGCUCAUGCGUGUAAUCCCAGCACUUUGGGAGGCCAAGGCGGGCGGAUCACCUGAGGUCUGGAGUUCGAGGCCAGGCUGACCAACAUGAAGAUACCCCAUCUCUACUAAAAAUACAAAAUUAGCUGGGCAUGGUGGUGGGCACCUGUAAUCCCAGCUACUUGGGAGGCUGAGGUAGGAGAAUCACUUGAACCCAGGAGGCAGAGGUUGCGGUGAGCUGAGAUUGUGCCGUUGCACUCCAGCCUGGGCAAUAAGAGCAGAGCUCUGUCUCAAAAAAAGGACCUGGUGGAGGCCGGGCACGGUGGCUCAUGCCUGUAAUCCCAGCACUUUGGGAGGCUGAGAUGGGUGGAUCACAAGGUCAGGAGAUUGAGACCAUCCUGGCUAACAUGGUGAAACCCUGUCUAUACUAAAAAUACAAAAAAUUAGCCGGGCACGGUGGCUGGCACCUGUAGUCCCCAGCUACUCUGGAGGCUGAGGCAGGAGAAUGGCGUGAACCCGGGAGGCGGAGCUUGCAGUGAGCAGAGAGAGCGCCACUGCCGUCUGGCCUGGGCGAAAGAGAGAGACUCCGUCUCAAAAAAAAAAAAAAAAAAAAAAAAGAGGGUCUGGUGCAGUGGCUCACGCCUGUAAUCCCAGUGCUUUGGGAGGCUGAGGCGUGAGGAUUGCUUGAGCCCAGGAGGCUACAAUAAGCCGUGCACCACUGCAUUCCAGCCUGAGUGAGAGUGAGACCCUGUCUCAAAAAAAAAAAAAACAAAAAUCCAAAAACCCGUCACCUAGCGGGUGACUUUGACUUUGACAACAUCCCUAAUACAACUGUUGCUGACUGGAGGGAAAAAAUAAAAACAAACCAAUCAGCAAGGUUGUGGGAUUUCCUCUUUCUAGCCAUAUUUGGCUGUUUCUUUCAGGUAGGGAGAGGGGAAGAGCAGGCAGUGUGAGAUGAACUGGGUCACAGCUGCAGGAGUUAGCAGGAUCAAUGGGGUCAGCCGACUAUGGCCCACUGCAUUUUUUGUUUGUUUGUUUUGAGAGGGAGUUUUGCUCUUGUCACCCAGGCUGGAGUGCAAUGGUGUGAUCUCAGCUCACCACAACUUCUGCCUCCCAGGUUGAAGCCAUUCUCCUGCCUCAGCCCCCUCAGUAGUUGGGAUUACAGGCGCCCACCACCACAACCAGCUAGUUUUUGUAUUUUGAAUACAGACAGGGUUUCACCAUUUGGCCAGGCUGGUCUCGAACUUCUGACCUCAGGUGAUCUGACCUCCUCAAGCCUCCCAAAGUGCUGGGAUUACAGGCAUGAGCCACUGAGCCUGGCCCAGCCCACUGCUUUUAUAACAAACCUUUUUCUAUUGUGGUAAAAUAUACAUAACAAAGACUUACUGUUUAACCAGUUAUUUAUUUGUUUGUUUAUUUGUUUUUGUAGAGACGGGGUCUCACCAUGUUGCCCGGGACAGUCUUGAACUCUUUUUUUUUUUUUUUUUAAGUAGUCUCGCUCUCUUGCCCAGGCUGGAGUGCAAUGGUGUGAUCUCUGCUCACUGCAACCUCUGCCUCCCAGGUUCAAAUGAUUCUCCCUCCUCAGCCUCCUGAAUAGCUGGGAUUACAGGCACAGGCCACCACACCUGGCUAAUUUUUGUAGUUUUGUAGAGAUAGGGUUUCACCAUAUUGGCCAGGCUGAUCUUGAACUCCUAACCUCAGGUGAUCUGCCUGCCUUGGCCUCCCAAAGUGCUGGGAUUACAGGCAUGAGCCACCUCUCCCAGCUGGUGUUGAACUCUUGGUGGGUGAACAAGUGAGCCAGCCAGCCAAGCUUCAUCUGUAUCUACAGCCACUCCACAUGGCUAGCGGUACUGCCUGAGUUCCGCCUCCUGCCAGAUCAGCGGUGGCAUUAGAUUCUCAUAGGAGUGCAACCUUAUUGUGAAUGAACUGUGGGUGUGCGGGAUCUAGAUUGAGUGCUUCUUAUGAGAAUCUAAUGCCUGAUGAUCUGUCACUAUCUCCCAUCACCCCCAGAUGGGACUGUCUAGUUGCAGGAAAACAAACUCAGGGCUCCCAUUGAGUCUACAUUAUGGUGAGUUGCAUAGUUAUUUUAUUAUAUAUUAUAGUGUAAUAAUAGAAAUAAGGUAUGCAAUAAAUGUAAUGCUGUAGUAGGUGUCAGUGCUUCAUUCUGUCUUAUGGCUGAAUAAUAUUCCACUGUAUGGACAGACCACAUUUAGUUUAUCCAUUCAUCAGUUGAUAGAUACUAGGUUGCUUCCAUGUUUUGGCUCGUAUGAAUAAUGCUGCUGUGGACAUGGGUGUACCAUGAUCUGUUUGAGUCCCUGUUUUCAUUCUCUUGGAUGUUUACCUAGGAGUGGAAUUGCUGGGGCCUAUGAUAACUACUGCCUGUUGCAUGGCUCACAAACCAAGAAUGGUGUGGUAGACAGAAUAAUGGCCCCCCCAAUGAAGAUCAUGCCCCAUCCCCAGAACCUAUCAAUAGUUACCUUAUGUGGCAAAAGGGACUCUGCAGUUGUGAUUACGUUAAGGAUUUUGAGAUGGGGAGAUUAUUCUGCAUUAUCUGGGUGGGCCCAAGGUCAUCAAGAGAGGGAGAUGAAAGGGUGAGAGAGAUGGGAUGGCAGAAGCAGAGACUGAGAAGUGCACUUUGAAGAUGGAGGAAGGGGCCACAAGCCAAGGAAUGUGAGUGGCAUCUACAAGUUGGAAAAGGGAAGGAAACGGAUUCUUCCCUAGAACUUUAGGAGAAAUACAACCCUGCUUACACCCUGAAUUUAGCCAAACAUAACCCAUCUGGACUUCUGACCUUCAGAGAAUAAAUUUGUGUUGUUUUUUAAAAUUAUACACACACACACACACACACACACACACACACACACACACACACAGACAUAUAUUUGUGGAGAUGGAAUUUCCCUAUGUUGUUGCCCAGGCUGGUCUCCAACUGCUGGCCUCAAGUGAUCCUCCUGCAUCAGCCUCCCAAAGUGCUGAGAUUACAGGCAUGAGCCAUGAUUCCUGGUCAAAUUUAUGUUGUUUUAUGCCACUAAGCUUGUAGUAACUUGUUACGGAGGCCAUAGAACUUUUACAUUUUCAAAUGGUUGGAAAGCGAUCAAAUGAUAUUUUGUGGCACAUGAAAUUAUACGACAUUCCAUUUGUGUCCAUAAGCAAAGUGUUAUUGGCACCCAGAGAUGCCCAUUCAUUCAUAUACCAUCUAGGACUGCUUUCCAGCCGGAGGGACAAUAGAGUGCUUGCAGGAGGCCGUGUGGUCUGCAAAGCCUAAAAUAUUUACUAUCUGGUACUUUAGGGAAAAAACCUUGCUGACUCCUAAUAUAUUUAUUCAUUUUGUUGUUGUUGUUUGUUUUUUGAGACGGAGUCUUGCUCUGUCGCUAGGCUGGAGUGCAGUGGCAUGAUCUCGGCUCACUGCAACCUCUGCUUCCCAGGUUCAAGCGAUUCUCCUGCCUCGGCUUCCUGGGUAGCUGGGACUACAGGCACACAGCACCAUGCCCAGCUAAUUUUUUGUAUUUUAGUAGAGAUGGGGUUUCACCAUGUUGGCCAGGAUGGUUUCAAUCUCCUGAACUCAUGAUCCACCUGCCUCAGCCUCCCAAAGUGCUGGGAUUACAGGCAUGAGCCACGGCACCCGGCCUGUUUGUUUGUUUUUGAGAUGCUUCGUCACCCAGGCUGGAGUGCAGUGGCGCAAUCUCGGCUCACAGCAGCCUCUGCCUCCCAGGUUCAAGGGAUUCUCAUACCUCACUCUCCCGAGUAGCUGGGAUUACAGGUGCCUGCCAUCAUGCCUGGCUAAUUUUUGUAUUUCUAGUAGAGGUAGGGUUUCCCCAUGUUGGCCAGGCUGGUCUCAAACUCCUGACUUCAAGUGAUCCAUCUGCCUUGGCCUCCCAAAGUGCUGAGAUUACAGGCAUGCGCCACUGCUACCGGCCUGAUUUUUUUUUUUUUUUUUUUGAGGCGGAGUCUGGCUCUCCCAGGCUGGAGUGCAGUGGCACAAUCUCGGCUCACUACAAUCUCCACCUCCCGGGUUCAAGCGAUUCUCCUGCCUCAGCCUCCUAAGUAGCUGGGACUACAGGCAUGUGCCACCAUGCCUAGAUUUUUUUUUUUUUGUCCUUUUAGUAGAGAUUGGGUUUCACUAUGUUGGUCAGGCUGGUCUUGAACUGCUGACCUCAAAUGAUCCGCCCACCUCGGCCUUCCAAAGUGCUGGGAUUACAGGCAUGAGCCACGGCACCUGGCCUGAUUGAUUAUUUUUAUUUUUUAUUGUAUUUAUUUAUUUUUUGAGACAGAGUCUUACUCUGUCGCCCAGGCUGGAGGGCAGUGGCGCGAUCUUGGCUUACUGCAACCUCCGCCUCCUGGGUUCAAGAGAUUCUCCUGCCUCAGCCUCCUGCGUAGCUGGGAUUAUAGGCACCCGCCACCACGCCCGGCUAUUUUUUUAUUUUAGUAGAGAUAGGGUUUCGUCAUGUUGGCCAUGGUGGUCUUGAACUCCUGACCUCAGGUGAUCCACUCACCUCAGCCUUCCAAAGUGCUGGGAUCACAGGCGUGAGCCACCACGCCCGGCCUAGUCAAGGCAAUUCUGUAAGGGAGGAGCAGGAGGUAGACACGCUUGCUCCAGUUGCCAUUCAUUCAUUCACUCAUUUUUUCAGGCACCGGAGAGGUCAUUCAGUGCAUUUGGUUUUGUGGCCCUAUGGCAUAUAUUGAUUGUCUCCAAAUGUCAUCAUUUCCUGAGCACAGCUCCUGUCACUGCAGUGUGGUCGGCAGCUUCUCGAGGGCAGCAUUUCUGGUUUGAUUUCCGUGUGGCCAAGUAGGAUAUGUGAACACAGAAAGAAGUAGCCAGGACUGAUUGGACAGUCCCUCUCCAGGGCUGUGCAAAUGAUGCCCAUGUUCCUUGGGGACACAGAGUGGGUCCCGGAAGGCUGACGGGCAGCCCUGAUUCUGCUGCCUUCAGCCUGGGCAACAUGGUGAGAUCCUAUCUCUACAAAAAUUGCAAAAAAUACCUGGGCAUGGUGGCGCACUCCUGUAGUCCCAGCAACUCAGGAGGCUGAGGGACGAGAAUCACUUGAACCCGGGAGGCGGAGGUUGCCGUGAGCCGAGAUUGCGCCAUUGGACUCCAGCGUGGGUGACAGAGCGAGACUCUGUCUCAAAAAAAAACAACAAUAACAACAAAGAAAACCCAACAUAAUUUAUCUUGGGUGUUGAAAUUUUUGUCACUCUCUUACAUUUUGCGAUGUCAACUCUUGCCCCAGGAACCAGAUUCUGUGUGGGCCUAGAAAUGACUUCCAAGACAAAUGAAAAAGCAGGUCUCUGCCAUCCCCUGGCCGGACUCCAAAUGCCGCUGCUUUGCGGGGGCUUCCUUGAUUUAUUAGGAGAGGGGAUGAGUGCCUACUACCCAGUUCAGUGUGGGCAGCCAGCUCCCGGGUCUGCCUGGGCCACCCACUUGUGCCUAGGGUCUCCCUCUCAUCCUUUCUGCCAAGGCUGUCUCCAGGGAUAUCAGCUUUGCAGAUCACUCUCUGCAGUUCACACAUGUGCCCAGCCCUGUACCAUCCCCCGUGAAGAGAGAAAAGAGUAAAAGCACAGUCCCUCGUCUCUGGGAGACAAAAUUGGACCAAGGAGGCCAGGUGCAGUAGCUCAUGCCUGUAAUCCCAGCACUUUGGGAGGCGGAGGCAGGUGGAUUACGAGGUCAGGAGUUCGAGACCAGCCUGGCCAACAUAGUGAAACCUCGUCUCUACUAAAAAUACACAAAAAUUAGCCAGGCCUGGUGGCAGGCGCCUGUAAUCUCAGCUACUUGGGAGGCUGAGGCAGGAGAACAGGAGAAUCGCUUAAACCUGGGAGGUAGAGGUUCCAGUGAGCCGAGAUCGCGCCACUGCACUCCAGCCUGGGCGACAGUGUGAGACUCCGUCUCAAAAAAAAAAAAAAAAAUUGAACCAGGGAGACAGCCAGAGAACACUCUGAAGGCCACAUAUAACUAAGUAUGACAGAAUGCUUUGCUCUGGAAAAUAACAAAAGCAAGUACAAAAUAAGGCCCUGAUCAGAGGUGAGGUGUGGCAGGUGGGAGGAUGAGUGUGAUAUAAAGAACCAGGGCUUUUUGCAGCCAGCACUCCUGAGUGCAUUCUUGUCUGCAGCUGUGAGCUUCUGUCUUCCCAUGUGCAAAAUGAGAGGAUAAGGAGACAGUAAUGCACCAGAAUAGCUUGCUCACUGCUGGGUGAGGUGGCUGAUGCCUGUAAUCCUGGCACUUUGGGGGACCGGGGUGGGCAGAUCGCCUGAGGUCAGGAGUUUGAGACCAGCCUGGCCAACAGGGCAAAAUCCCAUCUGUACUAAAAAUACAAAAAUUAGCCGGGCUUGGUGGUGUGUGCCUGUAACCACAGCUACUUGGGAGGCUGAGGCAGAAGAAUCACUUGAACCCAGGAGGCGGAGGUUGCAGUGAGCCGAGAUCGUGCCACUGCACUCUAGCCUGGGUGACAAAGCAAGACUCCGUCUUAAAAAACAAAACAAAACAAAACAAAAAAAAGAAUAGCUUGCUCACUAAGGGCAGUUAAAAAUAGGCUUCCCACCAGGGCCAUCCAUGGCUCAUGCUUGUAAUCCCAGCAAUUUGGGAGGUAGAGGUAGGAUUCCUUGAGUCCCAGGAGUUCAAGACCAGGCUGGGCAACACAGUGAGACUCCUAUCUCUAUUUGUUGAAAA
rnacentral:lncRNA from 1 species